rnacentral:rRNA from 1 species
GACGAACGCUGGCGGCGUGCUUAACACAUGCCAGUCGAACGGGAUUUAGUAAACGGAAGCCUCGGUGGAAGAUUACUAAUGAGAGUGGCGAACGGGUGAGUAACGCGUGAGCAACCUGCCUAUGACAGUGGGAUAGCCUCGGGAAACCGGGAUUAAUACCGCAUAAAAUCGUAGAAACACAUGUUUCAACGGUCAAAGAUUUAUCGGUCAUGGAUGGGCUCGCGUCUGAUUAGCUAGUUGGUGAGAUAACAGCCCACCAAGGCGACGAUCAGUAGCCGGUCUGAGAGGAUGAACGGCCACAUUGGAACUGAGACACGGUCCAAACUCCUACGGGAGGCAGCAGUGGGGAAUAUUGCACAAUGGGGGAAACCCUGAUGCAGCGACGCCGCGUGAACGAAGAAGGUAUUCGUAUCGUAAAGUUCUGUCCUAUGGGAAGAUAAUGACAGUACCAUAGAAGAAAGCUCCGGCUAAAUACGUG